rnacentral:rRNA from 1 species
AUGGGUCGCGCCCGCCUCGCUGCUAUGGUCUACCUCGCUGCACCCCCGUGUUGCCGUGCUUCUGCGCGCCGUGGAGCUCUUGCACGCCGCUGUGCUCCACAUCGCAGCCUUGCGCUGCCGCGCCGCAGCACGCCACGACCACGAGUGGUGACUUGCAGAAAGUCCAGAGGGAAGGGAUCUACAUAUGCGUGGCGGGUUGGCGGCGCCGGCUCUCUUAGGUGCUGCAACGUCGAAGUCCAAAGCCACCUGCUACAGGGAUGGUUUGGAGAUAAAACAGGCACAUGCCUUGAGAAAACAAAACAAAACAACAUCCUUCGAGCAUCUAUGUACACCGCUCUUCUACGCUGCAUAGAAAAGGGAACACCAUCAGUUUAUGUUAUAACUGGUAAGUAA